rnacentral:rRNA from 1 species
AUUGAACGCUGGCGGCAUGCUUUACACAUGCAAGUCGAACGGUAACAGGUUAAGCUGACGAGUGGCGAACGGGUGAGUAAUGCAUCGGAACGUGCCCGAUCGUGGGGGAUAACACUUCGAAAGAAGUGCUAAUACCGCAUACGAUCUGAGGAUGAAAGCGGGGGACCGUAAGGCCUCGCCCCAUCGGAGUGGACGGUGUCCGGUUAGGCAGUUGGUGGGGUAAAGGCUCACAAAGCCGACGAUCUGUAGCUGGUCUGAGAGGACGACCAGCCACACUGGGACUGAGACACGGCCCAGACUCCUACGGGAGGCAGCAGUGGGGAAUUUUGGACAAUGGGCGCAAGCCUGAUCCAGCAAUGCCGCGUGCAGGAAGAAGGUCUUCGGGUUGUAAACUGCUUUUGUACGGAGCGAAAAGGCUCCCUCUAAUUCAGGGGGCUCAUGACGGUACCGUAGGAAUAAGCACCGGCUAACUACGUGCCAGCCGCCGCGGUAA